rnacentral:rRNA from 1 species
UAGGGAAUAUUGCACAAUGGGGGAAACCCUGAUGCAGCAAUGCCGCGUGAAGGAUGAAGGUUUUCGGAUUGUAAACUUCUAUCGAUGGGGAAGAAAGAAAUGACGGUACCCAAGUAAGAAGCCCCGGCUAACUAUGUGCCAGCAGCCGCGGUAAUACAUAGGGGGCAAGCGUUAUCCGGAUUUACUGGGUGUAAAGGGUGCGUAGGUGGUUAGGAAAGUCAGAUGUGAAAACCCAAGGCUUAACUUUGGGAAUGCAUUUGAAACUUCUUGACUAGAGUACAGGAGAGGUAAGUGGAAUUUCUAGUGUAGCGGUAAAAUGCGUAGAUAUUAGGAAGAACACCAGUGGCGAAGGCGACUUACUGGACUGAAACUGACACUGAGGCACGAAAGCGUGGGGAGC